CUGUCCUCUCUCUGGCAGAGUGGAGUAUAUGGAGAAGAGCAAGCACCUGCAGGAGCAGCUCAACGAACUCAAGACAGAGAUCGAGGCCUUGAAACUCAAAGAGAGGGAGACGGCCUUGGAUAUUCUGCACAACGAGAACUCUGAUCAGGGCGGCACCAGCAGCAAACACAAUACCAUUAAAAAGCCUCAAGCCCAAGGCAGAAGACCUAUCUGCAUUUGAGCCCUCAAACUCACCCUGCAGAGCGCCAAGUCCCGAGUGGCCUUCUUUGAAGAGCUCUAGCAGGUGACCCAGCCACCCGAGGAUUGGCCACUUCUGCUUGCGGCACCGAUGGGAUGGGCCUGACACCGAGGGAGCCGUCCGUAGGUGGGCUGGAUGGGGGCUUCCUCGGGAGCUCUGGAGCUUUUCCUGGCUGAGCGGAGAGCCCAGCCCCCUUCAUGUGCAAUUGCCUUGAACUAUGACCCUGUAGAGGUAUCUCUCUUGGGGUUCUAGUUCUCCUGACCUGAGUCUUUAAAUUUUUUUGAGUAUUUGUCUUUCCUUAUCUAAUGUGGGAUUCCGUGCUUCCUUCGUCCAAAGCACCCUGGGGUGUGUGUCUUACUGUCCACUGCUGACCUCCCAGCCCUGUCUGGGAAGUGGCUGUAGGAAGUGAAGUACACAGCCCCCCUGGAGACCAGGAGGCUGGUGCCAUCCCCACCCCCGACGCCCCCAGAACAUUCAUCUCCUUCACUGGUUUGGAACUGGCAUGGGAAGAAGCGUGGCCGCCCAAGCCCAGGCCCACAGCAACCUGCCUGCUACACAUCAUUGGAGAGCGAGCCAGGCAAUGGGUCCUCGGCCUACGCACCCCUGAGGUAGCGCUCUGGCUGCCAGCUGGUGGGGAAUGGGAAAGGCAGCUGUGCCUGGGGGAAGACCCGGCAGAAGCUGUGAUGAAGGGCUGGCUGCCAGCAGAGGGCCUGGGAGGCCAGCAGAGCCGUGUAGGAACCUGCACCCUACAGAACACUCGCUGCCUUUCUUCUGCCACCUCAGACCAGGGUCCAGGCGGCAGGUGGGGCCCUCUCCAACCGUAGCCUCUCUUGCACGUGGCAGCUGGGGUGGGGGGGCUCCCCGACACUCUAGUCAGCACCUGGCAGCCCAGCCAUGACCGGGGGUCUCUGUAGGGCUCUGAGGCCCUGACACCCAGUUCCACUGGCCCCAGUCUGCCUCGUUGAUCUGAAUCAUCUUUCCUCCCGGCCACACGCCAGCAAGGCCCUCCCCGCCAUGGCUGUACCUGGGCCUCCUUGGCAGUUGCCCUCAUCUCCUUGAGAGCCCUUCGCUUUAUGUUCUCCCCUGGGCCGUGUGAGGGAGGGGAUGCAGGUGACCCCUCAGUCAGUGCUCUGCACCCGCUGACACGCGACCCCCGGCCAUGCCGGGUGGCAGCAGAUCACAAAGCCACCCCACGGCCCAUACUCCUUGGUUUGGGGCUGCUUUCCUGCCCUUUCUUCCUCCAUGGCUGGUGGUGCUGCUGUGAUCCACCAGACCAUUCACAUCCUUCCGAUGAGGCUGCUGUGCAGAGCCGGGGAUAAGUGGUAACCAGUGAAAAGACGUGUAUUAAAUGAAGGCGUGGGAGGGCCUGGAGAUUUCCCGAGGGCAGAGGUGGCCUCUGGCACUCCUGUGUGGUUUUGAGAAACUGAGAAGCUCGCAGAGAUCCUGCCAAAUUCCGUGGUCAAGCUGACCUAGUGGUGUCCUGGGCUCGCCACCACCUUCUUGGGUCACCUUGCAUGGAGGAAGCCAGCCCUAUGUGUCCCCCCAGCCCCUCAGGACAUGCAGGGUGGGACUCCGAAUCUGGACACUAAGCAUGAAUGGCUGUAGCUGGAAGAUUCCCUUGUGUCUGUCUCUCUGUCCCUCUGAGGCCUCUUCCCCCGAGACACGGUCCCAGCGGGGGUCCUCCGGCCGCGUUUGUAAUGUAAGGUCUGACAGUUGUGAGGCUGUUUCCUCAGGCUCACCACCCAUCCCUGACCUGCGCAUUUAGUCUGUAACAAUGGCUGUGGGCACAGAGCAUGGUGGUCAUUUAUAAAAAUGUUGUCAGGCUUUGUUUUUUUAUUAUUUAACUGCUGUGUGUAUGUCUGAAGUCUGGGAAAUGCCGAGCCAUGCAGCCACAGGGGAGCCGGCUGGGAUCUGAGCUGUGGAGGGAGCAGACUCUGGAGGGCCGGCAGAGCCUGGCUCCAGCAGGGAUAAGGCAGCUGUCCUUGGGGACGAGAGCUGGCAGGUACCUCCCAGAGAUGAACAGGCGGAGAGGAUAUCUUGAGCCCCAGUGGAAGAAGGAAUGAAAGCAGAGCUUGGUUUUCAGGGCGUGUGCCAAUGGCCGAGGUGACUGUGUGAUUUGUAAGUGACCGAGCUUGGGUCUUAUUAAGUAAGGAAGCCCCUGACCAGAUCGUUUCGUUAUAAGUGCUCCCGAUGGUCCUCGGGCAGAAGCACCGUGCUGGUAACACUCAGCGAGGCUGCGCUGGCAGCCCCUGGCGGGUCCACACAGGGCACCUCGUUGAUCUGAUUGAGGCUCCACCUCAGCCCCAGCGGCUCUGCCCUGUGCUGUCCUCACAGUUAUUCAGUUAUUCGCGCACCCCCCGGGCCCUGCUGGACAGCACCCCGCGGCAUUACCUAAGGCUUCCUUAGUGAUUGCGUUCUGUAGUCUUGGGGACAGGUUUCUCUCUCCCUUUCUUUUUCAAAUCAAAACCGCAAGUCCUGAGGCUAACAACCUGCGACUGACUAAGCUUUGCUCGCUGACAGGACUGGGGCCUGCAGGCCCCUCGAGGGGGCGGCCUUGGCAGGGAGAUGGCCUCUCCCAGCCACCCGGGGGCCAGGCUGGCCCCUCUGGGCUUCCAGGGAAGCUCCAUCCACCCGUUUUCAAAGACGUCAAACCACCCUUCUUCCUAUGGGGCCUCCUGUCAGGGCCAGACCAGGGAAGGCCAUUUUCUAUUCUGGGGGAUUGUUGUAAUUUAAAUGAUUGUUUUAAUAAAAAUUCUAAAUUGUAAAAAGUU